rnacentral:rRNA from 1 species
GGGUUGUGAGGUUAAGCGACUAAGCGUACACGGUGGAUGCCCUGGCAGUCAGAGGCGAUGAAGGACGUGCUAAUCUGCGAUAAGCGCCGGUAAGGUGAUAUGAACCGUUAUAACCGGCGAUUUCCGAAUGGGGAAACCCAGUGUGACUCGUCACACUAUCAUUAACUGAAUCCAUAGGUUAAUGAGGCGAACCGGGGGAACUGAAACAUCUAAGUACCCCGAGGAAAAGAAAUCAACCGAGAUUCCCCCAGUAGCGGCGAGCGAACGGGGAGGAGCCCAGAGCCUGAAUCAGCAUGUGUGUUAGUGGAAGCGUCUGGAAAGGCGCGCGAUACAGGGUGACAGCCCCGUACACAAAAGCGCAUGUGCUGUGAGCUCGAUGAGUAGGGCGGGACACGUGGUAUCCUGUCUGAAUAUGGGGGGACCAUCCUCCAAGGCUAAAUACUCCUGACUGACCGAUAGUGAACCAGUACCGUGAGGGAAAGGCGAAAAGAACCCCGGCGAGGGGAGUGAAAAAGAACCUGAAACCGUGUACGUACAAGCAGUGGGAGCCCCACCACUAAGCCAGUGGUGAACUCCACAUACGCAUCCUUUGCUGAGGAUAAGGUUAACGGAGCGAAAGCGACGUUCAACCGCAAAAGAAGCAGAGGGGGCUUAGUGGUGGGGUGACUGCGUACCUUUUGUAUAAUGGGUCAGCGACUUAUAUUCUGUAGCAAGGUUAACCGUAUAGGGGAGCCGCAGGGAAACCGAGUCUUAACCGGGCGUUAAGUUGCAGGGUAUAGACCCGAAACCCGGUGAUCUAGCCAUGGGCAGGUUGAAGGUUGGGUAACACUAACUGGAGGACCGAACCGACUAAUGUUGAAAAAUUAGCGGAUGACCUGUGGCUGGGGGUGAAAGGCCAAUCAAACCGGGAGAUAGCUGGUUCUCCCCGAAAGCUAUUUAGGUAGCGCCUCGUGAAUUCAUCUCCGGGGGUAGAGCACUGUUCCGGCUAGGGGGCCAUCCCGGCUUACCAACCCGAUGCAAACUGCGAAUACCGGAGAAUGUUAUCACGGGAGACACACGGCGGGUGCUAACGUCCGUCGUGAAGAGGGAAACAACCCAGACCGCCAGCUAAGGUCCCAAAGUCAUGGUUAAGUGGGAAACGAUGUGGGAAGGCCCAGACAGCCAGGAUGUUGGCUUAGAAGCAGCCAUCAUUUAAAGAAAGCGUAAUAGCUCACUGGUCGAGUCGGCCUGCGCGGAAGAUGUAACGGGGCUAAACCAUGCACCGAAGCUGCGGCAGCGACGCUUAUGCGUUCGUUGGGUAGGGGAGCGUUCUGUAAGCCUGCGAAGGUGGCCUGUGAGGGUUGCUGGAGGUAUCAGAAGUGCGAAUGCUGACAUAAGUAACGAUAAAGCGGGUGAAAAGCCCGCUCGCCGGAAGACCAAGGGUUCCUGUCCAACGUUAAUCGGGGCAGGGUGAGUCGACCCCUAAGGCGAGGCCGAAAGGCGUAGUCGAUGGGAAACGGGUUAAUAUUCCCGUACUUGGUGUUACUGCGAAGGGGGGACGGAGAAGGCUAUGUUGGCCGGGCGACGGUUGUCCCGGUUUAAGCGUGUAGGUGUGUGUUCCAGGUAAAUCCGGUUCACUUUAACACUGAGGCGUGAUGACGAGGCACUACGGUGCUGAAGCAACAAAUGCCCUGCUUCCAGGAAAAGCCUCUAAGCAUCAGGUAACAUCAAAUCGUACCCCAAACCGACACAGGUGGUCAGGUAGAGAAUACCAAGGCGCUUGAGAGAACUCGGGUGAAGGAACUAGGCAAAAUGGUGCCGUAACUUCGGGAGAAGGCACGCUGACACGUAGGUGAAGUGAUUUACUCAUGGAGCUGAAGUCAGUCGAAGAUACCAGCUGGCUGCAACUGUUUAUUAAAAACACAGCACUGUGCAAACACGAAAGUGGACGUAUACGGUGUGACGCCUGCCCGGUGCCGGAAGGUUAAUUGAUGGGGUCAGCGCAAGCGAAGCUCCUGAUCGAAGCCCCGGUAAACGGCGGCCGUAACUAUAACGGUCCUAAGGUAGCGAAAUUCCUUGUCGGGUAAGUUCCGACCUGCACGAAUGGCGUAAUGAUGGCCAGGCUGUCUCCACCCGAGACUCAGUGAAAUUGAACUCGCUGUGAAGAUGCAGUGUACCCGCGGCAAGACGGAAAGACCCCGUGAACCUUUACUAUAGCUUGACACUGAACAUUGAGCCUUGAUGUGUAGGAUAGGUGGGAGGCUUUGAAGCGUGGACGCCAGUCUGCGUGGAGCCGACCUUGAAAUACCACCCUUUAAUGUUUGAUGUUCUAACGUGGACCCGUAAUCCGGGUUGCGGACAGUGUCUGGUGGGUAGUUUGACUGGGGCGGUCUCCUCCUAAAGAGUAACGGAGGAGCACGAAGGUUGGCUAAUCCUGGUCGGACAUCAGGAGGUUAGUGCAAUGGCAUAAGCCAGCUUGACUGCGAGCGUGACGGCGCGAGCAGGUGCGAAAGCAGGUCAUAGUGAUCCGGUGGUUCUGAAUGGAAGGGCCAUCGCUCAACGGAUAAAAGGUACUCCGGGGAUAACAGGCUGAUACCGCCCAAGAGUUCAUAUCGACGGCGGUGUUUGGCACCUCGAUGUCGGCUCAUCACAUCCUGGGGCUGAAGUAGGUCCCAAGGGUAUGGCUGUUCGCCAUUUAAAGUGGUACGCGAGCUGGGUUUAGAACGUCGUGAGACAGUUCGGUCCCUAUCUGCCGUGGGCGCUGGAGAACUGAGGGGGGCUGCUCCUAGUACGAGAGGACCGGAGUGGACGCAUCACUGGUGUUCGGGUUGUCAUGCCAAUGGCACUGCCCGGUAGCUAAAUGCGGAAGAGAUAAGUGCUGAAAGCAUCUAAGCACGAAACUUGCCCCGAGAUGAGUUCUCCCUGAGACUUAGAGUCUCCUGAAGGAACGUUGAAGACGACGACGUUGAUAGGCCGGGUGUGUAAGCGCAGCGAUGCGUUGAGCUAACCGGUACUAAUGAACCGUGAGGCUUAACCUUACAACGCCGAAG